UCACCACCGCAUGAAGAAAGAAUAAGAAGAAGCGGUUGGGUUUGACCUUUUAACGUCAACCAAAGGCCAUCGCAAACGAGAUAGGCGUGAUCCUGCGACCGCGCCCCAGCAAGUAGACUGCGGUCGUCUAGCCGUGGCAUCACGGCAGUGGCCUGAGGAAGGGCUAGCAGGUGACAGCCAAAAUCCCCCGCCCCCUACGCGCGAGGAAGAAGAAGAAGAAAAAAAAUUUCUCCUCUGUUUUGGGCUCAGAUCCACCCCAGCAUGACCCAGCUUGCCUGUGCUGGGUUUGGGAUUUGCGCUUUAGCCCAAGGUCGAAAGGUAAAGAAAGAAAGAAAAAAAAAAGAAAAGGAAAAGAAAGAAGGGGAGGGGAGGCCUGCGUGCUCGUGGGCCCACAGCCAAG
rnacentral:lncRNA from 1 species